rnacentral:rRNA from 1 species
GACGUAGGGGGCGAGCGUUAUUCGGAAUUAUUGGGCGUAAAGCGCUCGUAGGCGGGACUGCAAGUCCGUGUUGAAAGACCUCGGCUCAACUGAGGGACCGGCUCGGAUACUGUGGUUCUUGAGGCAAUCAGAGGGUGAUGGAAUUCCCGGUGUAGCGGUGAAGUGCGUAGAUAUCGGGAGGAACACCAGUGGCGAAGGCGAUCACCUGGGGUUGUUCUGACGCUGAGGAGCGAAAGCUAGGGGAGCAAACGGG